rnacentral:rRNA from 1 species
AACGAACGCUGGCGGCGCGCCUAAUACAUGCAAGUCGAGCGAGAAGACGUAGCAAUACGUUUGUAAAGCGGCGAACGGGUGAGGAAUACAUGGGUAACCUACCCUCGAGUGGGGAAUAACUAGCCGAAAGGUUAGCUAAUACCGCGUACGCUCCUUGGACUUCGGUUCAGGGAGGAAAGCGAUACCGUGGGUACCGCGCUCUUGGAUGGGCUCAUGUCCUAUCAGCUUGUUGGUGAGGAACGGCUCACCAAGGCUUCGACGGGUAGCUGGUCUGAGAGGACGAUCAGCCACACUGGCACUGCGACACGGGCCAGACUCCUACGGGAGGCAGCAGUAAGGAUAUUGCGCAAUGGGCGAAAGCCUGACGCAGCGACGCCGCGUGGGGGAG